rnacentral:rRNA from 1 species
UACGGGGGGGGGUAAGCGUUGUUCGGAAUUACUGGGCGUAAAGGGCUCGUAGGCGGCCAACUAAGUCGGACGUGAAAUCCCUCAGCUUAACUGGGGAACUGCGUCCGAUACUGGAUGGCUUGGAUUUGGGAGAGGGAUGCGGAAUUCCAGGUGUAGCGGUGAAAUGCGUAGAUAUCGGGAGGAACACCAGUGGCGAAGGCGAUCAUCUGGGGUUGCUCUGACGCUGAGGAGCGAAAGCUAGGGGAGCAAACGGG